rnacentral:rRNA from 1 species
UGGACGAGUCUGACGGAGCACGCCGCGUGAGUGAUGAAGGCUUUCGGGUCGUAAAACUCUGUUGUUAGGGAAGAACAAGUGCUAGUUGAAUAAGCUGGCACCUUGACGGUACCUAACCAGAAAGCCACGGCUACUACGUGCCAGCAGCCGCGGUAAUACGUAGGUGGCAAGCGUUAUCCGGAAUUAUUGGGCGUAAAGCGCGCGCAGGUGGUUUCUUAAGUCUGAUGUGAAAGCCCACGGCUCAACCGUGGAGGGUCAUUGGAAACUGGGAGACUUGAGUGCAGAGAGGAAAGUGGAAUUCCAUGUGUAGCGGUGAAAUGCGUAGGAUAUGGAGGAACACCAGUGGCGAAGGCACUUUCUGGAUUUAUAUACUGCGG